UGCCGCGUGUGUGAAGAAGGCUUUCGGGUUGUAAAGCACUUUCAGCGAGGAAGAAAGCCUGGUGGUUAAUACCCAUCAGGAAGGACAUCACUCGCAGAAGAAGCACCGGCUAACUCCGUGCCAGCAGCCGCGGUAAUACGGAGGGUGCGAGCGUUAAUCGGAAUUACUGGGCGUAAAGCGCGCGUAGGUGGCUUGGCACGCCGGUUGUGAAAGCCCCGGGCUCAACCUGGGAACGGCAUCCGGAACGGCCAGGCUAGAGUGCAGGAGAGGAAGGUAGAAUUCCCGGUGUAGCGGUGAAAUGCGUAGAGAUCGGGAGGAAUACCAGUGGCGAAGGCGGCCUUCUGGCCUGACACUGACACUGAGGUGCGAAAGCGUGGGUAGCAAACAGGAUUAGAUACCCUGGUAGUCCACGCCGUAAACGAUGUCGACUAGCCGUUGGGACCUUUAAGGACUUAGUGGCGCAGUUAACGCGAUAAGUCGACCGCCUGGGGAGUACGGCCGCAAGGUUAAAACUCAAAUGAAUUGACGGGGGCCCGCACAAGCGGUGGAGCAUGUGGUUUAAUUCGAUGCAACGCGAAGAACCUUACCUACCCUUGACAUCCUGCGAAUUUGGUAGAGAUACCUUAGUGCCUUCGGGAGCGCAGUGACAGGUGCUGCAUGGCUGUCGUCAGCUCGUGUUGUGAAAUGUUGGGUUAAGUCCCGUAACGAGCGCAACCCUUGUCCUUAUUU
rnacentral:rRNA from 1 species